GCUGCAUGGCUCGGUGUGAAAAACUCCGGUGGUAUGGGAUGGGCCCGCGUCUGAUUAGGCAGUUGGCGGGGUAACGGCCCACCAAACCGACGAUCAGUAGCCGGCCUGAGAGGGCGACCGGCCACAUUGGGACUGAGACACGGCCCAAACUCCUACGGGAGGCAGCAGUGGGGAAUACUGCACAAUGGGGGGAACCCUGAUGCAGCGACGCCGCGUGAGCGAAGAAGUAUUUCGGUAUGUAAAGCUCUAUCAGCAGGGAAGAUAAUGACGGUACCUGACUAAGAAGCCCCGGCUAACUACGUGCCAGCAGCCGCGGUAAUACGUAGGGGGCAAGCGUUAUCCGGAUUUACUGGGUGUAAAGGGAGCGUAGACGGCAAGGCAAGUCUGAUGUGAAAACCCAGGGCUUAACCCUGGGACUGCAUUGGAAACUGUCUGGCUCGAGUGCCGGAGAGGUAAGCGGAAUUCCUAGUGUAGCGGUGAAAUGCGUAGAUAUUAGGAAGAACACCAGUGGCGAAGGCGGCUUACUGGACGGUAACUGACGUUGAGGCUCGAAAGCGUGGGGAGCAAACAGGAUUAGAUACCCUGGUAGUCCACGCCGUA
rnacentral:rRNA from 1 species